rnacentral:lncRNA from 1 species
UAAACAAUAAUAUUGAAUGAUAAAAAAUAUAGGAGUAGAUCUUGUGUGCUAUAUAUUAGGAUCACGGAGACCUCCGUGCUUCUAAGCCGUUUUUGAUAAUGUAACUUCCGAAUUGACAAUCGGCUCUAUUAAACUUGAUCUAAUGUAUUUGAACUAUCUAGAAAAUAAAUUUUAUGAUUUUUCGAUAUCUUUUAUCUGAUGAUCGAAAAUACUCAAAAUCAAUGGUUGAAAAUAAAAAAUCUUACAAAAAAUUAUAAUGUAGCACUAAAAUUUUUGAUCAGAUAUAUUGAUCUUGUUGUAAUAGUAUGAAAAAUUUUCUAUCAAAAUUUUAUAUGAUUUGAAUGCUUUGAAAAUAAAAAAUCUUACAAAAAAUUAUGAUGUAGCACUAAAAUUUUCGAUCAGAUAUAUUGAUCUUGUUAUAGACAGUAUAAAAAAUUUUCUAUCAAAAUUUUAUAUGAUUUGAAUGCUUUUAUACUGUUAAACUCGCAAAUAGCAGACAUCAACCAUUAAAUAUUGUUGAUUUUGAAUCUUUUGAUCACUAGGUAAAUGAUAUUGAAAAUUCGUAAAAAUUAUUUUUUAAAUACUUCGAAUACGCUAGAUCAAAUCUAAUAGAGCUGAUCGUCGAUUCGAAAGUUUCAUAAUUAAAAACAGCUUAGGAGCACGGUGUCAGGGACUUAGCGAAAUUGCUAUGCAAUAUAAGUUCUUGGCUUAACUUCGCUAGCGGAGCGGAUUGUUAAAUAGCUCCGAACCCAACCCACUGUGGGGAGAUGAAGGGUUUUGUAACUCCUCCCAUCAAUGAUGGAAGCUCAAAGGUUACAAAACUACUAAGAGUUAAUAGGGUGACUUUUGGGCUUAUGGCUCAUUAUGAGGGUGAGUUAAUAGGUGCUUUAGUGGUGAGUUAAUGUAGGCUAGAUUCAAUGUAUCUAGGAGCCUAUAUAUAGUGGGGUUUGGCUAAGGCCAAAGGACACAAGAGGGAGUGUGUGUGUAUGCUGUAAUCUCUUUUUUUAAGUAGUGGAGUAUUUAGUUUUUUGAGUGAACCUCUGCCCCUCUCUCUUUGUCAUUCCCUUAGCAUACUUAGUCGUAGGACGCGAAGGUCCGGACUAGCAAUAGGGACGAAGGCUUGCCCAUCUUCGAGCAGGAAGGCAGGCGCCGCACGGGCUUUGCGAACAGAAACAAUAAGGCCGUGACAGUUGGUAUCAGAGCCGGUUCGAGGAGGAACCGUGUCGUUAUCCGAUGCGGGAAUUGCCAACGUUGGGGG